GCCAGACCGAGGUGUCCUGGUCACCGUUUCACCAUCAUGCUUUGAUGUUCCCCUGUCUUUCCCUCUUCUGCUCUCAAGAGCAAAGGUUAAUUUAAGGACAAAGAUGAAGUCACUGUAAACUAAUCUGUCAUUGUUUUUACCUUCCUUUUCUUUUUCAGUGCAGAAAUUAAAAGUAAGUAUAAAGCACCGUGAUUGGGAGUGUUUUUGCGUGUGUCGGAAUCACUGGUAAAUGUUGGCUGAGAACAAUCCCUCCCCUUGCACUUGUGAAAACACUUUGAGCGCUUUAAGAGAUUAGCCUGAGAAAUAAUUAAAUAUCUUUUCU
rnacentral:lncRNA from 1 species